GAAAGACUCUGCAACGCAUAGUGAGAGCAGCUGAGAAGAUCAUUGGUGUCUCUCUCCCCUCCCUCCAGCACAUUUAUGGAACCCGUCUCACUCACAAAGCCCUCUGCAUCGCAGGUGAUCCCACCCUCCCAUCACAGCUUCUUCAGCUUGCUGCAUCAGGUCGGAGACUGCAGAGUCUCCAGGCCAGGACCAGCAGACUGAAGGACAGCUUCAUCCACCAGGCUGUCAGGAAGCUGAUCUCGCUCCUGACCUUUCAGGGUUGGAGCUAAACUCUGCAGGACAUUGGCACUCCUGGACCGUCACUGCUUACCAGUGGGAUAAGUUAUUUUGCACUACAAUCAUUUUAUCUCCACUGUUUGUUAACAUCACUGGUUUGCAUCUGCCAUGUGAUGCUUUAUUUAACUUUUUCUUUUCAUUCCCCUUAUUUGUAUUGUUGUAUUUUAUAUUUAAUCUGUAUCUAUCUGUAAAUGUAUUCUCUGUUAUUAGUAUGCACCAUAUGUUAUCAUAUACCAUAUGUUAUGAGAAUUCAAACAUGUUAUCUGUAUGCACCAAGGGUUUGAGAGUAAUGCAAUUUUAAUUCUCUGUAUGUAUGUGCUGUACGUGUGGAAGAACUAACAAUAAAGCAGACUUGACUUGACUUGAUAACAAGAGCUUGCAAAUAAGGCAACAUUCUUAUACAAUUAUACAUUAUAAGGAUAUGAACUGAUAAUGUACAUAAAAACAAACGUUUAUGGAAGGAGCAUAGCACCAAAUGUUGGCCUCAGUCACACAACCAAGGGGGUGGGCACCUCAAAACACAAUACAACACAUCAUCAUUCAUAUUAAUAAUAAUAAUAAUCAGUAUAUUAUUAAUGAGACUUUCCACAAUUUCAGAGUGUGCAAAGUUCUGUAAUACAAAAAGGCUUGGUUCUACUCUGCUUUUACAUUUUAAAAAAAUGAUGUUAAUUAAAAGUUUAAUAAUAUUACCGUCUCAAGUCUAUUGUUUCUGUGAUUUAGAAAACAUUCCGAGAUAUAAUACAGCCCAAAGGGAGAUUGAGCGCCCUCUUGAGGAAGAGACCAUAUAGCACAUGACAUCAUCAUCUAUCCUCAAAGGCAUGUAUGGGACAGACUGGCUUGUUAGUAGUUAUGAAUCAAGGCCAUGGCAUUACAGUCCCAGAAGUAUCUAUGCAUACAGCAAUGCAGACAUUUAAAGGACCUUGAUUUAUUGCAUGCAUAAGGUACAAGCAUGGAUGGACCCAGGGGCACCGCUAUGGUUUCUGGGCCCCAUCAGUAAAAAUCACAUCCCAUGGGGAAGAUACAUUGGACCCCUUCUCUGAUCAGGAUACUUUCAAUGGAAGGAUAGAAACUUCAUUAAAAAAAAAUUCAUUGGUUUCCAAAAUUAACUGAAGUCUGGUUUUGGAAUGACAUGAGGGUGAGUAAAUGAUGACACGAGAAUAUCAGAGAAAACAGACUGAACUAAAUAGAAAGGCUGUGACUCGACUCCAAAAUAACUUGGCGUCAAUGCAAAAAAUAUUCCUUGUUAUAUAUAAAAUAAAAUAUAAAACAUAUUGCAACAUAAAAUGACAUUUUAAUAAAAUGUAGACUUUUACAAACAGCCAAGAACAACAUACAACGCAAUCGCUCGGUUAAUUACAGUGAGUUAACAGUGAUGGGUUUUCUGCUGGGACUAUCUCCACGAUUAAAGACAUUAUUAGAGCAGUAUGGAGGGGGGGGGGGGGGGUCUGGCCAGAAACGUUUCCUCUGCAGUAAAGACUGACUGUUUGCCGUCAGAAGCAUCCUGGCACUACACUAGUAACGCCGAUGACAUGGGUUUGAUUCUCAGGGAACACAAGAAUCCCUGAAUACAGGUGGCUUUGAAUGAAAGCAUCUACAAAUGAGGGAUGGGAGCAGGCAGCACACAUUAAUCAACAUGAUACAGAUCUGUUAAGACAUACGGUUAUCUCUGAUGACCUGGGAGGAAGAUUGGGCUUUCAGCAGCACAGCAAUCCAAAUAAUAAGAAAACAUGAUGCUGUAAAACAGAGACUGACAGCAAUAUAAGACAUGAAGUCAACUACAUAAACUCCCCACAAACAAACAUGCCGCAUUACAACCUAUUUCAUUCAAUUCAGCAGCUUUAUUAUAUCACCAUAUUACAUCUAUACAGUUAGAUGUUAAUGUAUGAUUAAAUUAAAAACAAAUUAUAUCCACACAGAUUAAUAAACAAAAUCAUUUUAUUUCAAAUGAAUCUGAAAAGUGGGGAAUGGCUUCUCUGAUUCUAAUGGCAGUUUUGUUUUGUGUCAUGAUUCUGAUCACUAAUCAGUGCGUGUUAGGGGCCAUUUAUCGGGUUCAGCUAUUUUGUCUGGUGGAAACAUACUGAGGGGCAGUGAAAUCAGCACACUGAUGCUGGACACACACACACACA